rnacentral:rRNA from 1 species
CACGUAGGGCGCAAGCGUUGUCCGGAAUUAUUGGGCGUAAAGAGCUCGUAGGCGGUCUGUUGCGUCCGCUGUGAAAACCCGGGGCUUAACCCCUGGCUUGCAGUGGAUACGGACAGACUAGAGGUAGGUAGGGGAGAAUGGAAUUCCCGGUGUAGCGGUGAAAUGCGCAGAUAUCAGGAGGAACACCUAUUGCGAAGGCAGCUCGCUGGGACGUAACUGACGCUGAGACGCGAAAGCGUGGGGAGCAAACAGG